UUGCUGUGUUCCUGCAGCUUUGUUUUAAACUUCUAUUACAAUGUGAACUUUGGAGUUAGAAGCCUUCAGAUGGAGUGCCAUUUCCAUCAUUUAUUAGCUGCGUGACUUGAGGGAAGUUAAAAUCAGUUUCGUCAUCUACAAAAUGGAUAUAACAAAAGUGCCUGUCUCAAAAUAUUGUUCAGAGGAUUGAAUUUGUAAGAAUACAGCAUUUGACACACUGCCUGUCAACUGGACAUCUUCCCAUUGUCCAUUAUCUGGUACCAUCAUCCCCUUUCCUUUGGAGAAUGCAUGAGGAGAGUAGUCUGAAGAGCAUGAUUGUUCAUGGUAUCCACCUUCACUGGUACAAGAGUUGUUUAGGAUUCUGCACCUGCAGCCCAUCUUGUCAUAGAUUGCUGUUCUCAGACUCCUUAAGAAAUGUAACACAAAAGACUACAGCCCAGGGCAUGGUCUACACUCCUCACUAAAGCUUCAGGCUCCAUCUUUGUCUGCUGUAUAACCCUGGUGAGCUUACCUGCACAGUAAACUCAAUGAUCUGCUUCACCCUUUCCACUGAAAUCCUGGAACCAACACUCAGGUAAGCCUGGAGUCUGGCUCCGGCCCUUCUCAACAUUCCAGAGCCUUCUCUACCCCGUGCUACUACUUACUACAGUAGAGAAAUACAAAGAGGACAGAGGGCAAGCAAGAAACAGAGAGGAAGAAGGUUUUCAUUAUUUCUUUACUCUUCCCACCAAAGCUUUUACCUCCUGGUCCAGAGGUAGGGCUGAGCAAAACAUUGUUACUACAUAGCUAUCAUUUUAGUGGCUAUUAGGAGCCAGGACUUACGUUUAUGUACAUCCAUUUUAAUCCUCAAAGCAAUCUCUUGUGGUUGCUGUUGUUAUCCCAGUGAAACUAAUGAAACUAAGUUUAGGGGAGAUUAAGUAAAUCGCCCAAGUUCACAUGUUAAUAAAAGACAGAGCCAAGAUCUGACCCCCAGGCCCAGACACCUGACCUCCCUGAGAUGGAGCAUGCUGUUUUUCAGAGGUGGCACCAUUGUGAAUGUAUAAUGCUUGGCAGUGGCCCUCUCUACCACGGCAGGUACCAAAAGACAAUAGAUACUUUAAAAAAUGCUUACUAAUAAGUAAAACACCGUUGUCAUAAAAUAAAUUUUCAACAUAGCUUUAGGGUCAAGGGAACCAUCUUGUAUACCUUUUCCUUGCUGUAUGGAAAUGGAUCAG